rnacentral:rRNA from 1 species
GAACGCUGGCGGUGCGCCUAACACAUGCAAGUCGAGCGUACUUCGGUACGCGGCGGACGGGAGCGUAAUACAUAGGAAUCUACCAUGAACUCAGGAAUAACUCCGAGAAAUCGGAGCUAAUGCCGGAUAGUCCCGCGAGGGUAAAGCUUUUGCGGUUCAUGAGGAGCCUAUGGCCUAUCAGCUUGUUGGUAAGGUAACGGCUUACCAAGGCUAUGACGGGUAGCUGGUCUGAGAGGACGGCCAGCCUCACUGGGACUGAGACACGGCCCAGACUCCUACGGGAGGCAGCAGUGAGGAAUCUUCCACAAUGGGCGAAAGCCUGAUGGAGCGACACCGCGUGCGGGAUGAAGGCCUUCGGGUCGUAAACCGCUUUUUCGUGGGACUACUUCGAAUGUACCACGAGAAUAAGUCACGGCUAAUCACGUGCCAGCAGCCGCGGUAAUACGUGAGUGACGAGCGUUAUCCGGAAUUACUGGGCGUAAAGGGUCCGUAGGGGGCAGUUCAAGUACAUUGUUAAAUCUACUCGCUCAACGGGUAAACUGCGAUGUAUACUGUUCUGCUAGAGGUAUGUAGAGGUGAAUGGAAUUUCCGGAGUAGGGGU